GAUGAACGCUGGCGGCGUGCCUAAUACAUGCAAGUCGAGCGAACGGACGAGAAGCUUGCUUCUCUGAUGUUAGCGGCGGACGGGUGAGUAACACGUGGAUAACCUACCUAUAAGACUGGGAUAACUUCGGGAAACCGGAGCUAAUACCGGAUAAUAUUUUGAACCGCAUGGUUCAAAAGUGAAAGACGGUCUUGCUGUCACUUAUAGCUGGAUCCGCGCUGCAUUAGCUAGUUGGUAAGGUAACGGCUUACCAAGGCAACGAUGCAUAGCCGACCUGAGAGGGGGAACGGCCACACUGGAACUGAGACACGGUCCAGACUCCUACGGGAGGCAGCAGUAGGGAAGCUUCCGAAAUGGGCGAAAGCCUGACGGAGCAACGCAGCGUGAGUGAUGAAGGUCUUCGGAUCGUAAAACGCUGUUAUUAGGGAAGAACAUAUGUGGAAGUAACUGUGCACAUCUUGACGGUACCUAAUCAGAAAGCAACGGCUAACUACGUG
rnacentral:rRNA from 1 species